GAGAGUUUGAUCCUGGCUCAGGACGAACGCUGGCGGCGCGCCUACACAUGCAAGUCGAACGGAGCUGAGAGGAGCUUGCUUUUCUUAGCUUAGUGGCGAACGGGUGAGUAACGCGUGAGUAACCUGCCUUGGAGUGGGGGACAACAGUUGGAAACGACUGCUAAUACCGCAUAAGCCCACGAUCCGGCAUCGGAUUGAGGGAAAAGGAUUUAUUCGCUUCAGGAUGGACUCGCGUCCAAUUAGCUAGUUGGUGAGGUAACGGCCCACCAAGGCGACGAUUGGUAGCCGGACUGAGAGGUUGAACGGCCACAUUGGGACUGAGACACGGCCCAGACUCCUACGGGAGGCAGCAGUGGGGGAUAUUGCACAAUGGGGGAAACCCUGAUGCAGCGACGCCGCGUGGAGGAAGAAGGUUUUCGGAUUGUAAACUCCUGUCGUUAGGGACGAUAAUGACGGUACCUAACAAGAAAGCACCGGCUAACUACGUGCCAGCAGCCGCGGUAAAACGUAGGGUGCAAGCGUUGUCCGGAAUUACUGGGUGUAAAGGGAGCGCAGGCGGACCGGCAAGUUGGAAGUGAAAACUAUGGGCUCAACCCAUAAAUUGCUUUCAAAACUGCUGGCCUUGAGUAGUGCAGAGGUAGGUGGAAUUCCCGGUGUAGCGGUGGAAUGCGUAGAUAUCGGGAGGAACACCAGUGGCGAAGGCGACCUACUGGGCACCAACUGACGCUGAGGCUCGAAAGCAUGGGUAGCAAACAGGAUUAGAUACCCUGGUAGUCCAUGCCGUAAACGAUGAUUACUAGGUGUUGGAGGAUUGACCCCUUCAGUGCCGCAGUUAACACAAUAAGUAAUCCACCUGGGGAGUACGACCGCAAGGUUGAAACUCAAAGGAAUUGACGGGGGCCCGCACAAGCAGUGGAGUAUGUGGUUUAAUUCGAAGCAACGCGAAGAACCUUACCAGGUCUUGACAUCCGAUGCAUAGUGCAGAGAUGCAUGAAGUCCUUCGGGACAUCGAGACAGGUGGUGCAUGGUUGUCGUCAGCUCGUGUCGUGAGAUGUUGGGUUAAGACCCGCAACGAGCGCAACCCUUAUUGCCAGUUACUACGAAAGAGGACUCUGGCGAGACUGCCGUUGACAAAACGGAGGAAG
rnacentral:rRNA from 1 species